GUGUUCAUUUCAGCAGCACAUAUACUAAAAUUAGAACAAUACAGAGAAGAUUAGCAUGGACCUUGAGCAAGGAUGGCACACAAAUCAUGAAACAUUCCAUAUUUUU
ensembl:snRNA U6 U6 spliceosomal RNA